rnacentral:lncRNA from 1 species
CUUGAGGCCUCGCCCCGGCCGGGCCCCGCCGCUUCCUCGCGGGCUCCCAGGGCCCGGUCCCAGCCCGGGCUGGGCGAGGAGAGACCGAAGCCUGGAGGUCGAGACCCGGAGGCCGAGGCCCGGCCGGGAUUUGCGGCGAGGCGGCCCCGGGGAGGCCGGAGCAGGACCCGCCGCAGGUUCAUCUGGCCCCUUCUUCAGGAUGCAGCCUGUCUCUGUUCUGAGAUGAGUCCCUGAGCAGCAAAGAGCUCCUGUUUGUGCAGCACAUGAAGUACAACCAGGAACAUCAAAAAGCACAGAGCUCUAAAUGCUGUAAUAUGCUUUUUCCAUUCGUGCUGCUUCAGUCCAGCAU